UACGUAGGGUGCAAGCGUUAUCCGGAAUUAUUGGGCGUAAAGAGCUCGUAGGCGGUUUGUCGCGUCUGCUGUGAAAACUGGGAGGCCUCAACCUCCAGCCUGCAGUGGGUACGGGCAGACUAGAGUGCGGUAGGGGAGAUUGGAAUUCCUGGUGUAGCGGUGGAAUGCGCAGAUAUCAGGAGGAACACCGAUGGAGCGAAGGCAGGUCGUCUGGGCCACUACUGGACGCUGAGAAGACGAAAGCAUGGGGGAGCAAAACAGG
rnacentral:rRNA from 1 species